UAAAAAAGCAAAAAAUUCUCUCAUAUUUACUCAUAUUUUUACCUUUCCUGUAGUCUUCAUCCCUUUUUGCAGAUCUGAGUUUCCAUUGUCAUUUUCCUUUCUCUUGAAGAACUUUUAACAUCUCAUAUAGUGUCUGUCUGCUUACAAAGAAUUUUCUCAGAUUCUGAAGAUGUCUUCGUUUUGCCUUCAUUUGUAAAGGAUAUUUUCACUGGAUAUAGAAUUUCUUCUGGAAUUUUUUUCACACGCCCUUAUCUCCAACUGACUUGUCAACCCAGUAAGACUGCCAUUUGCAUGUUAACCUCUAUCUUUGUAUAGCAGUGACUGAGCAGCACUCUUAGGAGAAAAGCUAGAUGCUCAAUACAGACCUGAGCAGAAUCUUGGAAAGCCCAGAGAUCCAAAGAACCCUCCGAGCACUACGCAAGAAAAUUCAUCGCAAAGUCAUAAAGAACAAUCCCCUGACAAACCUGAGAAUCAUGUUGAAGCUAAACCCAUGUGCAAAGACCGUGCAUCAGAACACCAGUCUUCUCCAGGCCAAAUCAGAUGAGAAGGGGGUUCCAGGCAUGAAGCCUGUGGU